UACCAUUGUCCGAAUAUAUAUGAGUAGC
rnacentral:sRNA from 1 species